rnacentral:tRNA from 1 species
GCUUUCGUGGUGUCACGGUAACACGUUCAACGCAUAUUCGAGAGGUAUCGGUUCGAAUCCCGUCGAGGGCA